rnacentral:rRNA from 1 species
ACGGAAGGCAGCAGUGGGGAAUAUUGGGCAAUGGGCGAAAGCCUGACCCAGCGACGCCGCGUGAAGGAAGAAGGUCUUCGGAUUGUAAACUUCUUUUAUCAGGGACGUAGAAAGUGACGGUACCUGAUGAAUAAGCCACGGCUAACUACGUGCCAGCAGCCGCGGUAAUACGUAGGUGGCGAGCGUUAUCCGGAUUUACUGGGUGUAAAGGGCGCGUAGGCGGGGAUGCAAGUCAGAUGUGAAAUCCAUGGGCUUAACCCAUGAACUGCAUUUGAAACUGUAGCUCUUGAGUGUCGGAGAGGUAGAUGGAAUUCCUAGUGUAGCGGUGAAAUGCGUAGAUAUUAGGAGGAACACCAGUGGCGAAGGCGGCUUUCUGGACUGUAACUGACGCUGAGACACGAAAGCGUGGGGAGCAAACAGGAUUAGAUACCCUGGUA